GGGCAAAUAGUGUAGUUGGUUAUCGCGCCCGCUUCGCAUCAACACGUAAUCGCGCCUACGUAAGCAUGCGGGAGGUGCUGGGUUCAAUUCCCAGUUUGUCCA